rnacentral:rRNA from 1 species
CAUGAAGUCGGAAUUGCUAGUAAUCGCGGAUCAGCAUGCCGCGGUGAAUACGUUCCCGGGCCUUGUACACACCGCCCGUCACACCAUGGGAGCCGGUAAUACCCGAAGUCAGUAGUCCAACCUCGUGAGGACGCUGCCGAAGGUAGGAUUGGCGACUGGGGUGAAGUCGUAACAAGGUAUC